AGAGUUUGAUCCUGGCUCAGGAUGAACGCUGGCGGCGUGCCUAACACAUGCAAGUCGAACGAGGUAAAUAAGAUGAAGUUUUCGGAUGGAUUCUUAUUUACCGAGUGGCGGACGGGUGAGUAACGCGUGGGUAACCUGCCUCAUACAGGGGGGAUAACGGUUAGAAAUGACUGCUAAUACCGCAUAAGCGCACAGUACCACAUGGUACAGUGUGAAAAACUCCGGUGGUAUGAGAUGGACCCGCGUCUGAUUAGCUAGUUGGUGAGGUAACGGCCACCAAGGCGACGAUCAGUAGCCGACCUGAGAGGGUGACCGGCCACAUUGGGACCUGGAGACACGGCCCAGACUCCUACGGGAGGCA
rnacentral:rRNA from 1 species